rfam:Oryza nivara chromosome 3, whole genome shotgun sequence.
AAUAUACGCAGCCAUGAGUUUCAGUGUCCAAUUUUGAUUGUCGAUCUUAUUGAAUUUUUUAUGAUUAGUAUUUUUAUUGCUGUUAGAUUAUAAAAUAUGAAUAGUACUUGAUGCGUCACUUAUGUUUUUUAGUUUUUUUAAAAAAUAAAUAAUACGGACGAUUAAAGUUGGACACGGAAACUCAUGGCUGUGAUUAUU